rnacentral:rRNA from 1 species
UAGGUAACCUGCCUCUAAGAUUGGGAUAACUUGUCGAAAGACGAGCUAAUACCAAAUAAGACCACGGUCUCCUCGGGGACAGAGGUCAAAGGUAGCCUCUAUUUAUAAGCUAUCGCUGAGAGAUGGGCCUGCGUACCAUUAGCUUGUUGGUGAGGUAACGGCUCACCAAGGCAAAGAUGGUUAGCUGGUCUGAGAGGAUGGCCAGCCACAUUGGGACUGAGACAGCCCAG